rnacentral:rRNA from 1 species
GACGAACGCUGGCGGCGUGCUUAACACAUGCAAGUCGAACGGAAAGGCCCUGCUUUUGUGGGGUGCUCGAGUGGCGAACGGGUGAGUAACACGUGAGUAACCUGCCCUUGACUUUGGGAUAACUUCAGGAAACUGGGGCUAAUACCGGAUAGGAGCUCCUGCUGCAUGGUGGGGGUUGGAAAGUUUCGGCGGUUGGGGAUGGACUCGCGGCUUAUCAGCUUGUUGGUGGGGUAGUGGCUUACCAAGGCUUUGACGGGUAGCCGGCCUGGGAGGGUGACCGGCCACAUUGGGACUGAGAUACGGCCCAGACUCCUACGGGAGGCAGCAGUGGGGAAUAUUGCACAAUGGGCGGAAGCCUGAUGCAGCAACGCCGCGUGCGGGAUGACGUCCUUCGGGUUGUAAACCGCUUUCGCCUGUGACGAAGCGUGAGUGACGGUAAUGGGUAAAGAAGCACCGGCUAACUACGUG